rnacentral:rRNA from 1 species
CAACUCGCCUGCGUGAAGUCGGAAUUGCUAGUAAUCGCAGAUCAGCAUGCUGCGGUGAAUACGUUCCCGGGCCUUGUACACACCGCCCGUCACACCAUGGGAGUCGGUAACACCCGAAGCCUGUAGUCUGACCUUUUGGAGGACGCAGUCGAAGGUGGGAUCGAUGACUGGGGUGAAGUCGUAACAAGGUACC